rnacentral:tRNA from 1 species
AUUAACAUGGCAGAUUAGUGCAUUGGAUUUAAGUUCCAAACAUGGGGUUCUGUUAAUA